ensembl:tRNA
GGCCGGAUGGUCUAGUGGUAUGAUUCUCGCUUAGGGUGCGAGAGGUCCCGGGAUCGAUCCCCGGUCCGGCCC